UAGCAGCACACAAAACUAUCA
rnacentral:miRNA from 1 species